UCAGAUAAGACCUUAUAGUUUAUAGAUUUCGAUAUAAAUAAAUUUUACUUCUUUAUGCGUCCGGUCGUUGAGAAAAAAGAGAAGUGUGUUACAGCCUUAUAAUUACAGAGGACAGUAAGGGAAUAUUAUAAGGAAAAAGUACACAUUUACAUUUCACCGCGAAUUAAAUUUCUUGCCACCAAUACUUUCUCUCGAGAGGUCGUGUGUUGAUAUUUCAGAGCUUAUCUCAUAAUCAGAUAAGCUCUCUAGAGAAAUCUCCUCCCAGGUGAUUUCGCGGUGUGACUCAACGGCCUCAGCUCAUGAUCACAGACUUCUUAUCUCGGUUGUUUGUUUACUAAUUGUGAAUAACAUUUAUGAAAUAGCUUUUUAAAAGAGAUUUUACUUCCGUUUCUUGACUCAACUGAAAGCGUUCAGAUAGAAAUAAAAAGUCUAAGACAAAAUAUUGCGUCCCUUACUAGGCCGGGAAAUGGAGAAAAUAAAGUGCGGAUUAGGGGUGUUUGACGGUUCCACUAGUCCGGCAAGGGUGUGGACGCUGGUGGUGCACAAUGAUUUUAGCGAUUUCGGCGACGACAGCCGAACCAGCAACAAAGAAGAUGUUAAAAUCCUCAGAGAAGAGUUCUCAAGGAGAAAUUGUGAGUUUAGAGAGAUGGCCUCGAAAUCGAGAGACGAGAUAUUGGGUGUCCUCAGCCAGGAGAACAAGUUGUACGAAAUAUUCGGAGCGGACG